AUUCCCGUACACGAAAGGGCACACAUAAUGAUGACGAGUAGGGCGAGGCACGUGAAACCUUGUCUGAAUAUGGGGGGACCAUCCUCCAAGGCUAAAUACUCCUGACUGACCGAUAGUGAACCAGUACCGUGAGGGAAAGGCGAAAAGAACCCCUGUGAGGGGAGUGAAAUAGAUCCUGAAACCGCAUGCAUACAAGCAGUGGGAGCACCUUCGUGGUGUGACUGCGUACCUUUUGUAUAAUGGGU
rnacentral:rRNA from 1 species